rnacentral:rRNA from 1 species
CCAAUAGCGUAUAUUAAAGUUGCUGCAGUUAAAAAGCUCGUAGUUGAAUUUCGGGACUGAUAUAUCGGUCGUGCCUCGGUACGUACUGGUAUUUUUGGUUUCUCCCUUCUGACGAACCUUGAUGUCAUUAAUUUGGUGUCUUGGGAAAUCAGGACUGUUACUUUGAAAAAAUUAGAGUGUUUAAAGCAGGCUCACGCUUGAAUACAUUAGCAUGGAAUAAUGAAAUAGGACGUUUGAUUCUAUUUUGUUGGUUUCUAGGAUCGACGUAAUGAUUAAUAGGGAUAGUUGGGGGCAUUAGUAUUCAAUUGUCAGAGGUGAAAUUCUUGGAUUUAUUGAAGACUAACUACUGCGAAAGCAUUUGCCAAGGAUGUUUUCAUUAAUCAAGAACGAAAGUUAGGGGAUCGAAGACGAUCAGAUACCGUCGUAGUCUUAACCAUAAACUAUGCCGACUAGGGAUCGGAUGAUGUUAAUUUUUUAAUGACUCAUUCGACGCCUUACG